ensembl:lncRNA
AUGAAGAUGAGGAGAACACAAGAAGUGAGAGAAAAUAAGAUAAAUGAAGAAGAAGAGAAAUUGUGGGACAAAGCAGAGCAUUUUGAAGAAAAAGCGGAUACUGAAUUACCAAAAGAGUACUAUCAUGGGCUUGAUGAUCUACCCUGGAACCUGAACUCACUGGAGCAGUUACUGUAUAUCAGCCUGCCAGCAUGGAUACAAAGAGCUUUGCUUUGCAACUUAGUUGAGCAGUUUGGCAUCUGGACAUUUCAUAAAAACACCCUAGCGUGUCGUCUCAUAUCCUACACCCUACUGCCAUUCACUCUGCCUGCCACAACUGUCAUCUCAUUCAUCUAUAGAUUUUUGUGCUGGGUGAAGAAAAUUCCCCACCUGGCUCUGAAUGCAGGCAGGGAAUUCAAACAGGAAGUAAUCGCACAUCUGCAGUUAGUCUUUGCGCACUUGAGAGGACUUAUGCCGAACAGAUUCCUGCUUUUGCAAAUUCUACCUUUGGUCCCCAUGCUUUCUUGGUUUCUUGCACCCUGGUCCUGUUUCCCAUCUCUUCCUUUUACUUUCCUUCCCUGUUUCUCUUUUCCUUUACUUUCUCGUGCUUUGCGUUUCCUGCCACGCCGUCUCUCCACUUCAACCUCAAAGAAGCAGCUGGAGCGCAGGAGCCAGACUCAGCCUCUCUGGUGUAGACGACGAUCUCUCCUCUGUUUCCAGCUCACCGGAUCCAGCAGCUUCUGCAAAAAGACAGAUAGCAUCCUUACAGAUGCAGAGGCACAAUCUUUAGCCUUCCUCUUGCAGCUCAAUGUGGAGUUAGAAAUGGACAGCCAUCCCGAACCACUACAGCUUCAGAAGGACACACUAGAUUGUGAGGGAAGUUUAUUACUAAACACAGAAGCAGAUGAGAAUCUCUCCUCUCCUUUUAUUUCUUACAUGGAUGUACAAGAGGAAGACUGAAUGACUGUUAUACUGCAGACAAAAGUCUCUACUGUAGAAGAGUAGAAUAUUUGGACAAUACUCUGAAUAUGGCAGUGUAUACUGUACAUAUCAGUGUUGUUGUAAUAAUUACUUGGAAAUUGAAAUUGAAUUGAAAUAAAAUAUGAAUAUUAGAUAAACUUAAAAAAAUU